CCCCUAGAUGUUCUGGGCCGCACGCGCGCUACACUGAACAGUUCAACAAGUCUUAACCUCGGCCGAUAGGUCUGGGUAAUCUUUGAACGCUGUUCGUGAUUGGGAUAGACCUUUGCAAUUAUGGGUCUUCAACGAGGAAUUCCUAGUAAACGCAAGUCAUCAGCUUGCAUUGAUUACGUCCCUGCCCUUUGUACACACCGCCCGUCGCACCUACCGAUUGAAUGGUCCGGUGAAAUCUCGGGACGGCGGCUUGGUCGCUUGCGUCCGACUGCUGAAACUUGAUUAAACCAUAUCAUUUAGAGGAAGGUGAANUCGUANCA
rnacentral:rRNA from 1 species